rnacentral:rRNA from 1 species
UACGGAGGAUGCAAGCGUUAUCCGGAAUUAUUGGGCGUAAAGCGUCCGCAGGUGGCAAUUCAAGUCUGCUGUCAAAGGUCCUGGCUCAACCAGAGACAGGCAGUGGAAACUGAAUAGCUAGAGUGCGGUAGGGGCAGAGGGAAUUCCCAGUGUAGCGGUGAAAUGCGUAGAGAUUGGGAAGAACACCGGUGGCGAAGGCGCUCUGCUGGGCCGUAACUGACGCUCAGGGACGAAAGCUAGGGGAGCGAAUGGG